GUGGGGAAUAUUGGACAAUGGGCGCAAGCCUGAUCCAGCCAUGCCGCGUGAGUGAUGAAGGCCUUAGGGUUGUAAAGCUCUUUCAGUGGGGACGAUAAUGACGGUACCCACAGAAGAAGCCCCGGCUAACUUCGUGCAAGCAGCCGCGGUAAUACGAAGGGGGCUAGCGUUGUUCGGAUUUACUGGGCGUAAAGCGCACGUAGGCGGAUCGUUAAGUCGGGGGUGAAAUCCUGGAGCUCAACUCCAGAACUGCCUUCGAUACUGGCGAUCUUGAGUCCGGAAGAGGUGAGUGGAACUCCUAGUGUAGAGGUGGAAUUCGUAGAUAUUAGGAAGAACACCAGUGGCGAAGGCGGCUCACUGGUCCGGUACUGACGCUGAGGUGCGAAAGCGUGGGGAGCAAACAGGAUUAGAUACCCCGGUAGUCC
rnacentral:rRNA from 1 species